rnacentral:rRNA from 1 species
UACAGAGGUCUCAAGCGUUGUUCGGAUUCAUUGGGCGUAAAGGGUGCGUAGGCGGCGCGGUAAGUCGGGUGUGAAAUCUCGGAGCUUAACUCCGAAACUGCAUUCGAUACUGCCGUGCUUGAGGACUGGAGAGGAGACUGGAAUUUACGGUGUAGCGGUGAAAUGCGUAGAUAUCGUAAGGAAGACCAGUGGCGAAGGCGGGUCUCUGGACAGUUCCUGACGCUGAGGCACGAAGGCCAGGGGAGCAAACGGGAUUAGA